rnacentral:RNase_P_RNA from 1 species
GUUCGCUGGAGGAAAGUCCGAACACCAUACGGCAGCAUGCCGCGUGAAAUACGCGGGCGUCGCAGUUGAAAAAUUGCGACGACGGAGAGUGUCACAGAAAACAUACCGCCGGUUCUUUGAGAAAAGCGCAGGCAAGGGUGAAAAGGCGAGGUAAGAGCUCACCGCUCGCGGAGUAAUGCGCGAGGCAGGAAAAACCCCAUGCGGUGCAAGACAAAACAGAGGAAGGGCAGCCAGUCCGUUUGAUCCUCGGGUAUCGUCGCACCACGGCGGCUAAACCGCCGGGCGCUCGGAGAAAUCCGGGUGAGAUGAAUGAUCAUCAGCGUGAGCAAUCACGCCGACAGAAUUCGGCUUAUCGCCAUCGAAACUAU